rnacentral:rRNA from 1 species
AAUGAACGUUGGCGGCGUGGAUUAGGCAUGCAAGUCGAGCGCGAAUCGUAGCAAUACGAGGAGAGCGGCAAACGGGGUAGGAAGAAUUGGUGACGUACCCUCCGGACGGGGAUAGCCAUGGGAAACUAUGGGUAAUACCCGAUGACCUCCUGGGUUUGAAUACUCAGGUGCAAAGGUGUGAUUCCGACCGGGGGAGCGGCCAAUUUGACAUCAGCUAGUUGGUAAGGUAACGGCUUACCAAGGCUGACGUCUAGGGGGUNUGAGAGCAUCGGCCCCCACACUGGGACUGAGAUACUGCCCAGACACCUACGGGUGCUGCAGUCGAGAAUCUUCGGCAAUGGGCAAAGCCUGACCGAGCCGACGCCGCGUGCGGGAUGAAGGUCUUCGGAUU